rnacentral:tRNA from 1 species
GGAAUGUGACUCAAGCGGUAGCGCGCUCGCCUGGAAUGCGCGGGGUGCUGGGUUCGAUUCUCAGCACCA